CAUGCCUGUGAUAAUUACAUUAGCCCAUUGUGUUCAGUAAUUAUAUCACAGGCAGAGGGGAGGAUUUUGCUGGAAUGAAUUGUUUGAAUUAUUGUAUAUAAAAACAUAUAUUACGUGUUUGAUUGGAUGUUCCACAAAACCUUAUGGGUGGUACUAAUGUGUAAGAAUGUGUAUAUAAGAACAAUAAAAACACAGCUCUGUCUGUUCCUG